AACGAACGCUGGCGGCAGGCCUAACACAUGCAAGUCGAACGCCGUAGCAAUACGGAGUGGCAGACGGGUGAGUAACGCGUGGGAACAUACCCCUCGGUUCGGAAUAACUCAGGGAAACUUGAGCUAAUACCGGAUACGUCCGAGGUUUUAAUCGACCUGGGAGAAAGAUUUAUCGCCGGAGGAUUGGCCCGCGUCUGAUUAGCUUGUUGGUGAGGUAAUGGCUCACCAAGGCGACGAUCAGUAGCUGGUCUGAGAGGAUGAUCAGCCACAUUGGGACUGAGACACGGCCCAAACUCCUACGGGAGGCAGCAGUGGGGAAUAUUGGACAAUGGGCGAAAGCCUGAUCCAGCCAUGCCGCGUGAGUGAUGAAGGCCUUAGGGUUGUAAAGCUCUUUACCCGGGAAGAUAAUGACGAUACCGGGAGAAUAAGCCCCGCUAACUCGUGCCAGCAGCCGCUGUAAU
rnacentral:rRNA from 1 species